GAUGAACGCUGGCGGCGUGCCUAAUACAUGCAAGUCGAGCGAACAGACGAGGAGCUUGCUCCUCUGACGUUAGCGGCGGACGGGUGAGUAACACGUGGAUAACCUACCUAUAAGACUGGGAUAACUUCGGGAAACCGGAGCUAAUACCGGAUAAUAUAUUUAACCGCAUGGUUCAAUAGUGAAAGACGGUUUUGCUGGCACUUAUAUAUGGAUCCGCGCCGCAUUAGCUAGUUGGUAAGGUAACGGCUUACCAAGGCAACGAUGCGUAGCCGACCUGAGAGGGUGUUCGGCCACACUGGAACUGAGACACGGUCCAGACUCCUCCGGGAGGCAGCAGUAGGGAAUCUUCCGCAAUGGGCGAAAGCCUGACGGAGCAACGCCGAGUGAGUGAUGAAGGUCUUCGGAUCGUAAAACUCUGUUAUUAGGGAAGAACAAAUGUGUAAGUAACUAUGCACGUCUUGACGGUACCUAAUCAGAAAGCCACGGCUAACUACGUG
rnacentral:rRNA from 1 species